UACGUAGGGUGCAGGCGUUAAUCGGAAUUACUGGGCGUAAAGCGUGCGCAGGCGGUUUGCUAAGACAGGUGUGAAAUCCCCGGGCUUAACCUGGGAACUGCGCUUGUAACUAGCAGGCUAGAGUGUGGCAGAGGGGGGUGGAAUUCCAGGUGUAGUGGUGAAAUGCGUAGAUAUCGAGAGGAACACCAGUGGCGAAGGCGGCUCACUGGGCACCACCUGACGCUGAGGCGCGAAAGCGUGGGGAGCGAACCGG
rnacentral:rRNA from 1 species